rnacentral:rRNA from 1 species
AUUGAACGCUGGCGGCAGGCUUAACACAUGCAAGUCGAGCGGAGAUGAGGUGCUUGCACCUAAUCUUAGCGGCGGACGGGUGAGUAAUGCUUAUGAAUCUGCCUAUUAGUGGGGGACAACAUUCCGAAAGGAAUGCUAAUACCGCAUACGUCCUACUGGAGAAAGCAGGGGAUCUCUGGACCUCGCGCUAAUAGAUGAGCCUAAGUCGGAUUAGCUAGUUGGUGGGGUAAAGGCCUACCAAGGCGACGAUCUGUAGCGGGUCUGGGAGGAUGAUCCGCCACACUGGGACUGAGACACGGCCCAGACUCCUACGGGAGGCAGCAGUGGGGAAUAUUGGACAAUGGGGGAAACCCUGAUCCAGCCAUGCCGCGUGUGUGAAGAAGGCCUUAUGGUUGUAAAGCACUUUAAGCGAGGAGGAGGCUACUGAGACUAAUACUCUUGGAUAGUGGACGUUACUCGCAGAAUAAGCACCGGCUAACUCUGUGCCAGCAGCCGCCGUAA